GGGUCAUUAGUAUAGUGGUAGUAUACCUGCUUCGGGUGAUAAUCGAAGCUCUACGAUUCGUUUCGUACUUGCAGGUGACCCCGGAUCAAACCCGGGAUGACCCC